AUGCUUGCUUCAGCAGCACAUAUACUAAAAUUGAAAUGAUACAGAGAAGAUUAGCAUGGCCCUGCACAAGAUUAACAUGCAAAUUUGUGAAGCAUUCCAUAUUUUU
ensembl:snRNA U6 U6 spliceosomal RNA